rnacentral:rRNA from 1 species
UACGUAGGGGGCAAGCGUUGUCCGGAUUUAUUGGGCGUAAAGAGCGUGUAGGCGGCCUGGAAGGUCAGCUGUGAAAACUCGAGGCUCAACCUCGAGACGUCGGUUGAAACCACCUGGCUAGAGUCCGGAAGAGGCGAGUGGAAUUCCUGGUGUAGCGGUGGAAUGCGCAGAUAUCAGGAGGAACACCAAUAGCGAAGGCAGCUCGCUGGGACGUUACUGACACUGAGGCGCGAAAGCGUGGGGAGCGAACAGG